rnacentral:lncRNA from 13 species
UGAAUUUCCAGUUCAAGAUGAAGGCUACAUGUAACGUGCUGGCUUCAAGCGAGGCUGGAGAAAUCAAGGAAGUCACACGCCAUCGGUGAGGGAGGCAGCAGAGUGCCAGAGGCCCUGGGGAGAGGCAGCUGGGUUGAGAGCUCAUGAGCAGGUCGUAGCUCGCCAGGUGAGACCCUAAUUAGCCACUCUCUGAAGGCCUCGCUGCCGCAGCUGUUUGGAGUGUGACUUCUCCCGCAGGCCGGGAGCCAGGCC